rnacentral:lncRNA from 1 species
UCAACAAUCAUUCAUGCACACACACUUUUUUUUUUUAUUUAACUCUCCCUCUCUCUCUCAAUUCACCGCACAUACACACACACACUUUAUAUCUUCAUCAAAUCUCUCUCUAUCUUUUAUCUUUUAUUAAAGUUAACAUUUUCCUCUUUCUCUCCCACUAUCUCGGUUCCCUCUCUCUCCUUAUAUUAAAAUAUAUAACA